rnacentral:rRNA from 1 species
UACAGAGGGGGCCAGCGUUGUUCGGAAUUACUGGGCGUAAAGGGUGCGUAGGUGGCUAGGUAAGUCGGAUGUGAAAUCCCGGGGCUCAACCCCGGAACUGCAUUCGAUACUGCUUGGCUUGAGUACUGGAGAGGAGAUUGGAAUUCACGGUGUAGCAGUGAAAUGCGUAGAUAUCGGGAGGAACACCAGUGGCGAAGGCGGCGAUCUGGGAAGAUACUGACGCUGAGGUGCGAAAGCGUGGGGAGCAAACAGG